GCUUGGGUGGCUCAGUCAGUUAAGUGUCUGACUUUAGCUCAGGUCAUAAUCUCACAGUCCAUGGGUUUGAGCCCCAUGUCAGGCU
rnacentral:tRNA from 1 species